rnacentral:lncRNA from 1 species
AUGGCUUCAACGAUCCAAAGGGUCCUUAGAAGAUCACAACCCACAAGAAUAAUCGAUGCUUUACACAACCCUGCAGCGCCAAAUCUUAUUCUUCACCAACCUCAUCUCGACCAAACCAAUCCCGACCCACAUCAAUUCCUAAAUCUAAGUCCAUUGCUGGUUGUACCUAAAACACAGAACUUUGGCUCCUCUGGCUUCUCACAUAUUUUCCCAAGCUUUCCAUUUGGGAUUUGUUUAAACCCGAUUUCAUCAUCUGGGUUGGUCUCAUCCGAGGCCGUAGAAGUGGAGUUUGAUGACUCGCGGAAGGUCUGGGCCGAUAGCGUGAAGAAGAAGAGGAAGAGGAAGAUGAACAAGCACAAGUACAGGAAGCUGAGGAAGCGUCUCCAGAGACAGACUUAG